rnacentral:lncRNA from 1 species
AUGCCCGCAGUGCCCGUGUGCCUGGGACCCUUCGUGCCAGGUGCAAGCGGUGGGGUGCCUGGAAGCGCCCGGGGAGAUGUGAGGGCUGGAAGUGCUGGAGCAGCGAGGGGCCCCUCAGGAUGGGACUCGCAGCUGGUGUUCUCAGCUGACGUGAGUAGUCUGGCCUCUGACAGCCACACCUGUUCCCUCCUCCUCCUGAUUCAGGCCUCAGGGCACCCAGGGGAGGGGGUCCAGACUCCUGAGUGGGGGCCUGGGUGUGUGGCCCUCUCUAAGUACUCUGCAGGUGCGGAGACCCUUCACUUCUUCCCGCCUGGAGGUGCUUCCUGGGCUGGGGCUGGGUUUCCCGUGAACCCCUCACGUGGCUGGCACCCUGUGCUCGGAGCCCCUGGUACCGGUCAAGAAGGGGAUGGGCACAGCGGGGCGGGGACCGGGUGGCUUUUCCCUGCCCCGCUGUGUCUGAGUGGCCCGGAAGCAUCUUCCGCAUCCUCCCCCAGGCUCUGUGGACCCUGCGCCCAUGGGCGGCUUCCCCUGCCGCUUGGGCUUCCUCAUGGCGUGGUGGCCCGGGCUCCAGGAUGUGGGGUUGCAAGCAAGGCCAUUUCCACACACGCCAUUUCUGCAAGGGAUCAGACACAGGCGUGCGUGAGCCCAGCCAGACCCAAGAGGAGGGGACCCGACCCCACCUCUUGCUGGGAGUCGUGUUCCCCCUCGGACCGUCCCGCACACGUCUGCCAAGGAAGCUUUUGCACACCCAGAUCUGACUGUGGUGUCUGAGGGCUCAGCUCGUCCUGUGACAGAUCUGUGGACAAGUGGUGUCAACUGUGAGGACCUCAGCUUUGGCAGCGGCAGGAGAGAGACAGGGCUGUCCAGUUAGGUAUAAAUUUCAGCUAAAUUGCUGUUACUCGAGAUACAUGGCGCGGUACGUGUGUUCCCUGUGAAGUGUUUGGGACGUACUCUCCGUACGCAGAAAGCAUCUCGCCGUCGACUCCAGGCACCCUCUGUCUAGGUCAGGGCCUACUUCCUGGGCUGGUUGCAGUUAAACUAGAUGGACUUGUGAACACACCCUAUAAAUACUAGCUUCUCUUGAGCUCACCCCUGGCCUGACACACCCUCCUGGGGGAAGACAGGCCUCCUGGCCUCCCUUGCCAGACGCCACCAAGCGAGAAAUUGGCGGUAACGUGUUUCCAGAGUCCCCGUGCCUGGGAGAGUUCAUCGGUCUGUUGUGAGCCACUGUUUUUAGCCACCUCUUCCUUAUAAUGACUCCGUCAGUGGCAAAGGACAAAAUGCCCAACUCCGACUGACUCAGGCCGAAGGGAUUUCCCUGGCUUCUGAGUGAAACGCUACGGGUUUUAGGCACAGCUGGAUCCAGGCACCGGUUCUGUCCAGACUGUCCCCUGGCCUGCAGUCAGCAGAAUGACAGCUCCAGAGAUGUCCAUGCCCAGGAUCUGCGUCUGAAAAUUAGGAAAAGCGAGGAAGUGGGUCUGCCCCGGGGGAGCCAGCCCGCCCACAGUUGGACUUCAGCCGCCCGAGGCCCGUUGCCUCCUGGCCCCAGCGCUGUGAAAGAACGAGCUUGUGUGGUCUCAGGCUCUGAAUGUGCACUAAGUUGCUGACCCAGGAAAGCUGCACGGCUCAGCCUUCUCCGAGUGACCCUCUUCCUCAGGGGGCUCCUCUUUCCUUGGGACCAGCCAGGCGGACGCCCUAAUUGCUCCAUGUCCAGCGCAGUGAGAGCUGCUUUGGAAAAGCUCCGUGGAAGAGGUCAG